UACGUAGGGUGCUAGCGUUGUCCGGAUUUAUUGGGCGUAAAGAGCUUGUAGGUGGCUCGUUGCGUCGGGAGUGAAAACCUGCGGCUUAACCGCAGGCCUGCUUCCGAUACGGGCGAGCUAGAGUUCGGCAGGGGAGACUGGAAUUCCUGGUGUAGCGGUGGAAUGCGCAGAUAUCAGGAGGAACACCGGUGGCGAAGGCGGGUCUCUGGGCCGAUAUUGACGCUGAGGAGCGAAAGCGUGGGGAGCGAACAGG
rnacentral:rRNA from 1 species